rnacentral:rRNA from 1 species
UUAGUGGAAGCGUCUGGAAAGGCGCGCGAUACAGGGUGACAGCCCCGUACACAAAAGCGCAUGUGCUGUGAGCUCGAUGAGUAGGGCGGGACACGUGGUAUCCUGUCUGAAUAUGGGGGGACCAUCCUCCAAGGCUAAAUACUCCUGACUGACCGAUAGUGAACCAGUACCGUGAGGGAAAGGCGAAAAGAACCCCGGCGAGGGGAGUGAAAAAGAACCUGAAACCGUGUACGUACAAGCAGUGGGAGCCCCACCACUAAGCCAGUGGUGAACUCCACAUACGCAUCCUUUGCUGAGGAUACGGUUAACGGAGCGAAAGCGACGUUCAACCGCAAAAGAAGCAGAGGGGGCUUAGUGGUGGGGUGACUGCGUACCUUUUGUAUAAUGGGUCAGCGACUUAUAUUCUGUAGCAAGGUUAACCGAAUAGGGGAGCCGGAGGGAAACCGAGUCUUAACCGGGCGUUAAGUUGCAGGGUAUAGACCCGAAACCCGGUGAUCUAGCCAUGGGCAGGUUGAAGGUUGGGUAACACUAACUGGAGGACCGAACCGACUAAUGUUGAAAAAUUAGCGGAUGACCUGUGGCUGGGGGUGAAAGGCCAAUCAAACCGGGAGAUAGCUGGUUCUCCCCGAAAGCUAUUUAGGUAGCGCCUCGUGAAUUCAUCUCCGGGGGUAGAGCACUGUUUCGGCUAGGGGGCCAUCCCGGCUU